AUUCUUGUAGUUGAAACAACAAUAACUUUUCACGUUAUAGGUUUAGGNNAGACCCCUAACAAGAAUCC
rnacentral:tRNA from 1 species